UACGAAGGGGGCUAGCGUUGCUCGGAAUUACUGGGCGUAAAGGGCGCGUAGGCGGACAGUUUAGUUGGGGGUGAAAGCCCGGGGCUCAACCUCGGAAUUGCCUUCAAUACUGGCUGUCUUGAGUACGGGAGAGGUGUGUGGAACUCCGAGUGUAGAGGUGAAAUUCGUAGAUAUUCGGAAGAACACCAGUGGCGAAGGCGACACACUGGCCCGUUACUGACGCUGAGGCGCGAAAGCGUGGGGAGCAAACAGG
rnacentral:rRNA from 1 species